CGGCACUCCAGAUGUUUUGGACUACACUUCCCCAUGAUGCUUUGCCAGCAUUAUGGGGGAUGUAGUCCACAACAUCUGGAGUGCCG